AGCAUCACCAAGGGACAGGAGGAGAYGAGUGCCGCAGGGACGCAGGGUACAAGCACGCGCCGCGGUGUUUUUCUGGGAYCGCAGCACGGGGACGGGGGGUGGCCGCCGCAGAAAAGGGUCCCGGGAAGAGCCCGGCCCGGUGAGCUCAGCCGGGGAAGAGCCCGGCCCGCCGGCCGCAGCUGCUGUUGUUCUGCCCGUCCCCGAACAAUAGCGCAGUGUCCCCCGCGGCGGGGCAUCGUGCCGGCCGCUGGCUCGCGCACAGACCCGCAUUGUGCCCCGGCCGCGGCGCAACGCAGCGCUCGCCCGCUCCCGCCAGCCCCGGCCCCGCGGCUCCACCGCCGGCAGCAGCGGAAAACUCGGAGGGGCCAAACGCAGCACCGGCCCCGCGCAGCCCCCGCAAAGCCCCGGCCAGGGCAGCCCCCAGGGCUCCGCACCGCGCUCCCCUCCCUGCUGGGAGACGCUGGCCCCGCGCCGGCGGCAGCGGGGACAGCCAGUUCUGCCCUGCCGUCACCGUCCCCCCGCUCGGCCAAAGCGGGCCGCGGGGGGCAGAAAGGCCUCCUGGCACAGCCCGGCCUGGCUGCGGGGACGCGGCGCCGAGCCAGAUCCGGCCAGCGGGAGCGCGGCCGCUUCCUCCCUCCGCGGGCAGCCCCGCUCCACCGGGGCGAGGGGCCGGGAGAAACCCCUGCCCCAGGCGGGAGCCGGACGCCCGGAGCAGGGUGCAAGGUGUCCCGCAGCAGCACCCCCCCCGUCCCUGUCCCCCAGGAGCAGAGGCCACCGCUGUCACUACCGUUUCCUUUUAUUUGCAUUUUUUACAUAACAAGGUACAAAACCCUCCGCUCCCACCCGCCUGCAGCAGGCCGGCACCGGCGGCACUCCGGGCACGCCGCAGGGGGCCGGGCGCUUCCCACGCCGGAGACGGACCCAUGCUCCCAUCAGUGCGACACUUCCCCGGUGGGGGCGGCCAGGGGGGCCACAGCGGGGGGCCCCUCUCCAGCCCGAGCCCCCCAGCCUGCUCCRGGCAGCGCCGUCCCACCCGCGCGGAGGGCGUCCCUGCGGGAAGCAUCUGGGAGGCGCCGGUCGGAGCAGCCGGCGAGAGCGGGGCGCGAGCCUCCGGAGCGCCACGAGGCUGGGGACUCCCGCGGCUCCGCAAAAAGCCCUGCGGCUCCCAGGAGCUCCCCCGGCUGA
rnacentral:lncRNA from 1 species